rnacentral:rRNA from 1 species
GGAUGAACGCUGGCGGCGUGCCUAAUCCAUGCAAGUCGAGCGAACAGCUAAGGAGCUUGCUCCUUUGACGUUAGCGGCGGACGGGUGAGUAACACGUGGGUAACCUACCUAUAAGACUGGAAUAACUCCGGGAAACCGGGGCUAAUGCCGGAUAACAUUUAGAACCGCAUGGUUCUAAAGUGAAAGAUGGUUUUGCUAUCACUUAUAGAUGGACCCGCGCCGUAUUAGCUAGUUGGUAAGGUAACGGCUUACCAAGGCAACGAUACGUAGCCGACCUGAGAGGGUGAUCGGCCACACUGGAACUGAGACACGGUCCAGACUCCUACGGGAGGCAGCAGUAGGGAAUCUUCCGCAAUGGGCGAAAGCCUGACGGAGCAACGCCGCGUGAGUGAUGAAGGUCUUCGGAUCGUAAAACUCUGUUAUUAGGGAAGAACAAAUGUGUAAGUAACUGUGCACGUCUUGACGGUACCUAAUCAGAAAGCCACGGCUAACUACGUG